CUGAAGCCGAGAUUGAAGGAGACAUGGGGAAUUUUGGAAGACCGCUGACCAUAAGAUAUUUAAUUUUUUUGUUCUCCUCAACAAUAGUCUGCUCCUCUGAUGUGGAUGUUGUUCAGGAGAAUAAUGUAACAAUAGUUCGAGCUGGAGUGGAUGUGAACCUUACUUGCACAUUUUCAAAUGUUCUGCAAUCAACAAAAGCAUGGUUUAAACAGACGACUGACGCAAAAUCUUUACACAUUGUAUCUAUAUAUUUAAAUCAACAACCCAGUUGGAAUGAGGACUUUGAGAAGACAAGUCGUUUUAAUGUUAUUAAAGGAGACGAUCAUUUUAAUCUGACCAUUUUAAAGAUAAAGCCUUCAGACUCUGCAACGUAUUACUGUGUAGUCUCGUUAUAUCACGCAAUUGGAAUGGGUGCAGGAACCAGAUUACUUGUCAGGGAUGCAGCCAUAGGCAGAAACAUAACUCUUCAGCAGUCUUUGAUAGACACGCUUCAUCCAGGAGAUUCUGUGAGUUUGCAGUGCAGCAUCUUCACUGAGAGUUGUUCUGGAGAACACAGUGUCUACUGGUUCAGACAAAGCUCGGGUGAAUCUCAAGGAGUGCUUUACACCAAAGGAGAGAGAAAUGGUCAGUGUGAGAACAGCACAGAGACGCGAACACAGAGCUGUGUCUACAAUCUCUUCAAGAGCAACAUCAGUCUCUCUGAUGCUGGGAUUUACUACUGUGCUGUGGCCGCAUGCGGAGAGAUACUGUUUGGAAAAGGAACUGAACUAAAUUUUAGAGAGAGUGUCGAUGUGAAUCCAGCGCUGCUUGUUCUUGGCAUUUUAAAUGUCAUAUUUUUGACUUUAGCUGUUUUUCUGGGAAUAAAACUAUGUCAGGAUCCAAAUAAAAGUAAGGUUUAAUUUUGGCACACAUACUGUAUACUAAUAAUACAUUUACAUAUAAAAAUGCAAUAAUUGACACUACAAAGAUAUUAUAUUUGAUUGCUUUUUAAUGACUUUUCUUUAUUCAUCCACAAUCAACAAAUCUCUAGAGUGUCAAAGUGAAGACAUUCUGAGUUUUGCAGCAAAAAGUUCUUUCAUGGCAAAUGAACCUGAAGUAAAGAUUACUGAAGAACAUUCUCUUGUGACAUACAGCAUGAAUACUAAAAAAACAGCCUAUAAUCGCUAAAGGCCAUUAGAAACCGCAGUUUUCAGUUCAAGCUUAAAUGCUGCAUAAGUUUAUGGGGUAAAACAUGCUUAAAUUUUCAGUACUGCUUUGUAACAAUGUACAAUAUACAUGCCAGAUUUGCAGUCUUUUUAAUACAAUACGUAAUAUAAUUUUUAACAUGUUGUUUAAGUUUCACAUAUAGUUGGCUGCAUGUACAUAUGGCCAUCUAUACAGAACAGAAAUCCAACCACAGAUGUUUGCUCUGUUUAGUUACAUUACAGUAUAUUGGGUUUUUGACACUUGAUUGUAUCUAAAAUCCGAUGAUUUGUCUCAAAGUACAUGGCACAAAUUCCUUUGAAAUUUCCUUUUGUCUUUUGAAAUGUAAGACAUGUGUAAUCUACAAAGUAAUUUUGUAUAAAUGGUGUUAUAUGUAAAAUGAUGCAUGAUCCGUUACAGAUACAGUAUGUUUUUAAUCUUCCGCCCUAAAAAUGUAGCAAUACAAUAUAUGAAUGGCUUUACAUUUCUGUAAAUAAGACAUGAAGUCUGCGUUAUACAUUAUUGUUUCUGUAUCUUUUAUUCAUUGCUGCUUUUUUUUUUUUUUUUUUUUUGGUGUCAUACAAUUUAACAUCCAAAUUUAGCCAUCCAAACAGACUUUUCAUUUAUCAAAUAUGCAAUUUCACUCAGAAUAUUUCCGGUAACACAUUUAACAAGACAAAAACAAAAAAAAAAACAUACCAACAGUAGUACUGCUGAAGUGGUCUUACUGAUUGCAUAAAAAUUAUACAUUUUCUUGAUUUUAUGCUAAUGAACUUUAUUCAUUUCUUGAAACGCAGUCCAAGGUUUUUUUUUUU